UCAAGCUGGCAGCAGAGAGAGGACAUAGGGGCCUAAGAAGGGAGGCCUACUCUUAACAUCACCCAUCCAGCAGGAUACUUACUGUAAACAAUGGCUAACCCCACCCCCAAUCUCCAGCUUCAGCCAGGUUUCUCCCAGUCCUUCAGCUGAGCGGUCUGGUGGGGCUUGAUCAAUG
rnacentral:lncRNA from 1 species